rnacentral:rRNA from 1 species
GCCAGAGCCUCAUCUCCCUGUAGUUCUCGCGUGGUGUCCAACUGAAGCUAAGCAGGGUUGAGCGUGGCCAGUACCUGGAUGGGAGACCUCCUGGGGAAAACUAAGUUUGCUGCUGGAA